rnacentral:ncRNA from 1 species
CAAGGUCUUGGUCUUAAACCCCAUAUUACUUACACCCCUAAUUAUACAUGCAAGCCUCACCCCUACAGUGAAUUAGCCCAUCACCGCCGACCGGAGCAGGCAUCAGGCACCCGCCCACGACGCCAAGCCAAACAGCCACGCCCCCACGGGUCCACAGCAGUAAUUAACAUUAGGCUAUAAACGAAAGUUUGACCUAGUAAGGGGCACAUAAGGGUCGGUUAAUCCCCGUGCCAGCGACCGCGGUUAUACGACAGACCCAAAACAAUACUAACGGCGUAAAGCACGACUAAACAAUUGUCUAAUAACUAGGAAUGAAACAAAACUGGGCUGUAAAAAGCCAUAAGAUACAAUAACCACCACCCUAACAACAAACAGCCUCCACUCGUGAAAGCUAGGACACAAACUAAGAUUAGAUACCUUACUAUGCCUAACUAUAACAUAACAAUAAAAUUACCCAUUGUUCGCCAAAUAACUACGAGUCAAAACUUAAAAUUUAAAAGACUUGACGGUACCUCACACCAACCUAGAGGAGCCUGUUCAACAACCGAUACCCCACGAUCAACCCGACCCCCCCUAGCCCACAGUCUAUAUACCGCCGUCGCCAGCCUACCUUAUGAAAGAAACAAAGUAAGCUAAACAGUCACACACUAACACGACAGGUCGAGGUGUAACUUAUGGGUGGGACAGAAUGGGCUACAUUUUCUAAUACAGAAAAUACGGACAAACUAUGAAAAAGAAACUGAAGGCGGAUUUAGCAGUAAACUAAGAACAAACAUACCUAGUCGAAAUAUGCAAUGAGGUGCGUACACACCGCCCGUCAUCCCUGUCAACCAACUAAAGACAUACAUAAACAUAAAACACAUUUAAAGCAGGGCAAGUCGUAACAUGGUAAGCGUACUGGAAGGUGCGCUUAGAAA